rnacentral:rRNA from 1 species
AGCGAACGCUGGCGGCAGGCCUAACACAUGCAAGUCGAACGAACCCUUCGGGGUUAGUGGCGGACGGGUGAGUAACACGUGGGAACGUGCCUUUAGGUUCGGAAUAACUCAGGGAAACUUGUGCUAAUACCGAAUGUGCCCUUCGGGGGAAAGAUUUAUCGCCUUUAGAGCGGCCCGCGUCUAAUUAGCUAGUUGGUGGGGUAAAGGCUCUCCAAGGCGACGAUCAGUAGCUGGUCUGAGAGGAUGAUCAGCCACAUUGGGACUGGGACACGGCCCAAACUCCUACGUGAGGCAGCAGUGGGGAAUCUUGCGCAAUGGGCGAAAGCCUGACGCAGCCAUGCCGCGUGAAUGAUGAAGGUCUUAGGAUUGUAAAAUUCUUUCACCGGGGACGAUAAUGACGGUACCCGGAGAAGAAGCCCCGGCUAACUUCGUGCCAGCAGCCGCGGUAAUAC